rnacentral:rRNA from 1 species
UACGGAGGGUGCAAGCGUUGUCCGGAUUUAUUGGGUUUAAAGGGUGCGUAGGUGGCUAUUUAAGUCAGUGGUGAAAGUCUGCAGCUCAACUGUAGAACUGCCAUUGAUACUGACUAGCUUGAGUACUGAUGAGGUAGGCGGAAUUGAUAGUGUAGCGGUGAAAUGCAUAGAUAUUAUCAAGAACACCGAUUGCGAAGGCAGCUUACUAAGGAGUUACUGACACUGAGGCACGAAAGCGUGGGGAUCAAACAGG